rnacentral:misc_RNA from 1 species
AACACUGUUAACCUGCGGUACCUGCGGAAGGAUCAUUACCGAGUUUACAACUCCCAAACCCCUGUGAACAUACCUAUACGUUGCCUCGGCGGAUCAGCCCGCGCCCUGUAAAAAGGGACGGCCCGCCCGAGGACCCUAAACUCUGUUUUUAGUGGAACUUCUGAGUAAAACAAACAAAUAAAUCAAAACUUUUAACAACGGAUCU